rnacentral:rRNA from 1 species
UAUGUAGGGUGCAAGCGUUAAUCGGAAUUACUGGGCGUAAAGCGUGCGCAGGCGGUUAUGCAAGUCAGAUGUGAAAUCCCCGGGCUCAACCUGGGAACUGCAUUUGUGACUGCAUGGCUAGAGUGCGGCAGAGGGGGAUGGAAUUCCGCGUGUAGCAGUGAAAUGCGUAGAUAUGCGGAGGAACACCGAUGGCGAAGGCAAUCCCCUGGGCCUGCACUGACGCUCAUGCACGAAAGCGUGGGGAGCAAACAGG